rnacentral:rRNA from 1 species
CACCAUAAGACGUGGAGCUUGCGGCUUAAUUUGACUCAACGCGGGAAAACUUACCAGGUCAAGACAUGGGCGUGAUUGACAGGCUAAUGACUUUUCUCGAUUCCAUGGAUGGUGGUGCAUGGUCGCACUUAGUUGGUGCAGUGAUUUGUCAGGUUUAUUCCGGUAACGAACGAGACCUCGGCCUUGUAAAUAGCUAUGCUGCUUACAGGGACAUUGGCGGCUACGCCAAGGAAGCUCGAGGCAAUUGCAGAUCUGGAAUGCCCUUAGAUGUCCUGGGUCGCACGCGUGCUACAAUGACGCCACGAACGAGCUUGCGUGAUGAAAGUUACGCAUAAUCAGCAGUCGGCGUCUUAAGGGAUAGUCUCUUGUAACUGUGGGACUCCAACUAGGAAUGUCUCGUAAGCACAAGUCAACAUCUUGUGUUGAUUACGUCCCUGCUCUUUGUACACACCGCCCGUCGCUCCUACCGAUCGAGUGUUUAGGUGAAUUUGAUGGACGUAAGGAAGUCAAAUAAACCUGAGCACUUAGAGGAAGGAGAAGUCGUAACAAGGUUUCCGUAGGUGAACCUGCGGAAGGAUCAUUCCAAUAGCGCGCGAUUCAUUGGUUCUCUGCCUGCGUAAGCAGUGUAAAAAGGUUUUUUAGCUUUGGAGGUGUCGGGUACUGAUCCGAGGAAGGACGCAGUUACACGCGAUAUUCAACCUGAAUCGCAAAACUGCGGAUGGUCGGGUGUCUGAAUGCUCAAAGCCGGAGCUACUGGUCACGCUCCAACACACCCCUUCGGUGUCUCACUUCCGCGUGAUGUGAGAAUUCAAAAAUAUUUUCACGUGACCACUAGCAGGGCAUGUAGUUAAUUUAAGCUUAUAAGUUAAUACACAAAGAAACUAAACAGGAUGGACUGAGUAGUGGCGAAUGAAAAGUCCAAAGACCGAUCCGAAUUCAAGUUGUGGAUCCUACACUUCUGAAGACUCCAAACUGCCUGGAACGGUAGGCCGCAGAGAGUGAUAGCCUCUUUAGAGUCGGAAGAAGCGUAAACAGACUGAGUAGUAUUUGUUGGGAAGCAAAUACGAACGGGUGAUAAAAGUCAUCCAAGUCUAAACAGAUCAGUACACCGAUAGCAAACAAGUAUUGCGAAUAAAACAUGAAAAGUACUCCUGGAGGAGGGUUAAACUCCUAAAAAGCUAAAAAUAAAGU